AGAUUGGAGCUCAGGUGUCGAAGGACCGACUCUGAUUCCCAGAAAGCAUCUCUUAAAGUUUCUAGAGCUCACGAAAGUGUGGCCACCCACCAAAGCAAGAUGCUUUUUGGUUGUUCGCUUGCUGCUUUGGCGGAGGGCCUAGCCACGGCCAGCCACGUGAUAAGUGCAUCGUAAAAGGCCAAGGACGAGCAUGGAGAUGAUGGCAGGCAGGAGCGGCUCUCUUCCAACUCCAAAGCCUUCUGUUUUGGAAACAGUUCUUGCCCCACUCACUGGGCUGCCGCUGCUGCUGCUGGCACAGUGGACUGUUGCUGUGACAAAAAUUAUUGGCCUUCUUUCUUUUGGUUUUCUUCUUCCUUCCAGCACGCACACUGCUUUGAGGUUGGCAGCCUCAGCGCUUGGAACCCCAUCUUCUUAUGAACAUGAUUUCUAAAGUGGCU